rnacentral:rRNA from 1 species
UGCCUGUUGCGACCGGCGUACGGGUGCGUAACGCGUAUGCAACCUGCCCCGCACCGGGGGAUAGCNUUNCGAAAGGCGGAUUAAUACCCCAUGGCCCCGGGGGCCCGCAUGGGCUACCGGGUAAAGCCUUGGCGGUGCGGGAUGGGCAUGCGUGCCAUUAGCUGGCUGGUGGGGUAACGGCCCACCAGGGCGACGAUGGCUAGGGGGUCUGAGAGGAUGGUCCCCCACACUGGUACUGAGACACGGACCANACUCCUACGGGAGGCAGCAGUGAGGAAUAUUGGUCAAUGGGCGGAAGCCUGAACCAGCCAUGCCGCGUGCGGGAAGAAGGCCCUACGGGUUGUAAACCGCUUUUCCCCNGGAAGAAUAACCCCGACGCGUCGGGGGAUGCCGGUACCGGGGGAAUAANGAUCGGCUAACUUNCGUGCCAGCANCCCGCGGUAAUACGGAGGAUCCGAGCCGUUAUCCGGAUUUACUGGGUUUAAAGGGGUGCCGUAGCGGCCCUGCAAGUUANNGGUGAAAUGUGGCGG